rnacentral:rRNA from 2 species
CUCCCAAAGCGUAACGGAGGAGCACGAAGGUUAGCUAAUCCUGGUCGGACAUCAGGAGGUUAGUGCAAUGGCAUAAGCUAGCUUGACUGCGAGCGUGACGGCGCGAGCAGGUGCGAAAGCAGGUCAUAGUGAUCCGGUGGUUCUGAAUGGAAGGGCCAUCGCUCAACGGAUAAAAGGUACUCCGGGGAUAACAGGCUGAUACCGCCCAAGAGUUCAUAUCGACGGCGGUGUUUGGCACCUCGAUGUCGGCUCAUCACAUCCUGGGGCUGAAGUAGGUCCCAAGGGUAUGGCUGUUCGCCAUUUAAAGUGGUACGCGAGCUGGGUUUAGAACGUCGUGAGACAGUUCGGUCCCUAUCUGCCGUGGGCGCUGGAGAAUUGAGGGGGGCUGCUCCUAGUACGAGAGGACCGGAGUGGACGCAUCACUGGUGUUCGGGUUGUCAUGCCAAUGGCACUGCCCGGUAGCUAAAUGCGGAAGAGAUAAGUGCUGAAAGCAUCUAAGCACGAAACUUGCCCCGAGAUGAGUUCUCCCUGAGACUUUAAGUCUCCUGAAGGAACGUUGAAGACGACGACGUUGAUAGGCCGGGUGUGUAAGCGCAGCGAUGCGUUGAGCUAACCGGUACUAAUGAACCGUGAGGCUUAACCUU